rnacentral:rRNA from 1 species
UACGGAGGAUUCAAGCGUUAUCCGGAUUUAUUGGGUUUAAAGGGUGCGUAGGCGGAAUAUCAAGUCAGCGGUAAAAAUUGCGGGGCUCAACCCCGUCGAGCCGUUGAAACUGGCAGACUUGAGUUGGCGAGAAGUACGCGGAAUGCGCGGUGUAGCGGUGAAAUGCAUAGAUAUCGCGCAGAACUCCGAUUGCGAAGGCAGCGUACCGGCGCCCUACUGACGCUGAGGCACGAAAGUGCGGGUAUCAAACAGG